GCCACAGAUCCGCUCGCUGUAUCAGGAGUCUGAAAAGUGAGAGCUGGGGUUAGGCCUUGGUCUGAUCUCAGUUUAGUUCAAAGGAUGGUGUGUCCCUGCCACUGGUGGGCCAGUGGGUGGUGGGUUGUGAAUGAAGCGGGCAUGUACACAUGGAGACCGCGUGUGUAUGCAAAUCCUAUGCUCACCGCUUCCUGAGUUGAACAGUGCACUCGCACGCAGCUAGCAUGGAUGUCUAGAAAGAGCUUGGCAGAGGCAAAACCCUGGAGUGUCUAGCGGGUGCUUGGCACUAACAUCCCAACCCAUCACUAUCAACCCCUAUCACCACCAUCAUCACCAUCAACAUUAUCAUUAUCAUCUUCAUCAUUAGGAAUUCUUCCUCUAUGUCCUUUUCCAUCUCUCUUUUAGCAAUUAUUACACAAACAAAAUUCCAGGAAGCAGAGGGAUGAUGCAGAGGACUGAGGGUGGUGAACUGUUGGGGUAUUUGCCUUGUUCAGGUUGAGGGGGGUGGAAACGGCCUUGAGCUGGGCCAGGCCAUUGCUGUCAGUGUCAGGGAGCUGACCCUCCCCACAAAUCAUACUUAGUCUAGAAUAACUUGAGGCUAGGGCAAGGGAAGACUUCCUUUAGGUUCUUUUAGAACUUCUACCCUUCCUUCUUGGCCUACCCAGCUUCGGGAUAGAUAGAAGAUCUGGCCUUUAUGUUAUGUAGCCUGGAGGGGAAAAGGAGAGCCCUCAAGAGAGUGGGCUUCCCAGGUGGUGCUGAUGGUAAAAAAAAACCCGCCUCCAUGCAGAUUAGACUAUAAGAGACACAGAUUCGCUCCCUGGGUGGAAACGAUCCCCUUGAGGAGGGCAUGGCAACCCACUUCAGUAUUCCUGCCUGGAGAAUCCCCAUGGACAGAGAAGCCUGGCGAGCGACGGUCCAUAGGGUCAUAAAGAGUUGGACACGACUGAAGUGACUUAGCAUGCAUGGACGUUACCUAUCCCCAUGGAAAAGACCCUGAUGCUGGGAAAGAUUGAGAGAAGGAGGAGAAGGGGGCAACAGAGGAUGAGAUGGUUGGAUGGCAUCACUAACUCAAUGGACAUGAGUCUGAGCAAACUCUAGGAGAUAAUGAAGGACAGGGAAGCCUGGUGUGCUGCAGUCCCUGGGGCCACAAAGAGCCGGACACGACUGAGAGACCGAGCAACAGCAGCAAUCACUGAAAUCUUCCCACUAGUCAAGAGUGUGCUGGGCCCAGGGGCUGGCCGGGGCCCCUUGCCUUCCAGCUAAUGCAGGGCAUGGCUUUAGGGAGGUAAUAACCCCGGGCCCGGCUGCAGCCUGCCCCUUUCAUCUGGGGAUCUCAGGCACUUUGCAUGCAUGAGUCACCCAUCUUGCUGUAUUCUAGCCAAGGAGGGGGGCUAAUUAACUCUUGGGAGGGGAAACUGAG